GGGCUGAGGAGGCUGUUAUGGUUACAGUCAGACAGGGGACAGGUUAGGUUAGGGGGCUGAGGAGGCUGUUAUGGUUACAGUCAGACAGGGGACAGGUUAGGUUAGGGGGCUGAGGAGGCUGUUAUGGUUACAGUCAGACAGGGGACAGGUUAGGUUAGGGGGCUGAGGAGGCUGUUAUGGUUACAGUCAGACAGGGGACAGGUUAGGUUAGGGGGCUCUUGGUUCUUAGUGUGUUUGUCUGGGCAUGUUGAGCAGUGGUUUAGUUGUGCAGUGGUUCUGUGGGUUCUAGAAUAGUUCAACUAGAAGUGAAUUUUGGGUCAUUCCAGAUGUGACAAAGUCCAGAUGAAAUCUAGAGGGGUGAAAUCUAGAGUGGUGAAAUCUAGAGUGGUGAAAUCUAGAGGGGUGAAAUCUAGAGGGGGUAUAGGACAUGUUGAUUGUAUAGAGGAGGAUUGUAGUUCAUGUUUUAUUUUGAUAGUUCUAUUGACCAUUUUAUCUCAUCAUCUCAUCAAACUGAACUACAGAACAUAAUAAUAUAUAUUUUAUCUCAUCAAACUGAACUACAGAACAUAAUAAUCUAUAUUCUAUCUCACCAAACUGAACUACAGAACAUAAUAAUCUAUAUUUUAUCUCACCAAACUGAACUACAGAACAUAAUAAUCUAUAUUUUAUCUCAUCAAACUGAACUACAGAACAUAAUAAUCUAUAUUUUAUCUCACCAAACUGAACUACAG
rnacentral:lncRNA from 1 species